rnacentral:rRNA from 1 species
CUCACCUACGGGAGGCAGCAGUGGGGGAUAUUGGACAAUGGGGGAAACCCUGAUCCAGCGAUGCCGCGUGAGGGAAGAAGGUUUUCGGAUUGUAAACCUCUGUGGAGGGGGACGAUAAUGACGGUACCCCUUUAGGAAGCCACGGCUAACUACGUGCCAGCAGCCGCGGUAAUACGUAGGGAGCGAGCGUUGUCCGGAUUUACUGGGUGUAAAGGGUGCGUAGGCGGCUUGGCA